GUCAAAGAAAGAAAAUGACAACAGCCAAAACAUAAUAGCCAUCCUGUGUAAGUGAAUCAAAAUUAUACAUUUUUUCUUUUUGUCAGGCAUAAACAUUUU